rnacentral:rRNA from 1 species
GGAGUUAGCCGGUGCUUCUUCUGCGAGUAACGUCACAGAUGUAAGGUAUUAACUUACACCCUUUCCUCCUCGCUGAAAGUGCUUUACAAUCCGAAGGCCUUCUUCACACACGCGGCAUGGCUGCAUCAGGGUUUCCCCCAUUGUGCAAUAUUCCCCACUGCUGCCUCCCGUAGGAGUCUGGGCCGUGUCUCAGUCCCAGUGUGGCUGAUCAUCCUCUCAGACCAGCUAGGGAUCGUCGCCUAGGUGAGCCUUUACCUCACCUACUAGCUAAUCCCACCUGGGCUUAUCCAUCAGCGCAAGGCCCGAAGGUCCCCUGCUUUCCCCCGUAGGGCGUAUGCGGUAUUAGCAGUCGUUUCCAACUGUUACUCCCCACAAAUGGGCAAAUUCCCAGGCAUUACUCACCCGUCCGCCGCUCGUCAUCUUACAAAGCAAGCUUUUAGAAUGUUACCGCUCGACUUGCAUGUGUUACGGCCUGCCGCCAGCGUUACAAUCUGAGCCAGGAUACAAACUCUGA